AAAGUCCUGAUGUGUUCGUCUUAUAACCUAUUGUUUUGACCGAACAAUAUGUUAUCCGGGAGCCCGGAGUUUCUUAACCGCGUAAAUGCCUAUUACUGGACUUACAUACGUUAGAACAGGGCACCCACCUGCUUAGGUGCGGGUUCAAAACGAAGGCCGGGCGGCACAAUCGGGACUUCU
rnacentral:other from 1 species